rnacentral:rRNA from 1 species
UUCCUACGGGGGGCAGCAGUGAGGAAUAUUGGUCAAUGGUCGGGAGACUGAACCAGCCAAGCCGCGUGAGGGAGGAAGGUACAGAGUAUCGUAAACCUCUUUUGUCAGGGAACAAAGGCGGGGACGUGUCCCCGGAUGAGUGUACCUGAAGAAAAAGCAUCGGCUAACUCCGUGCCAGCAGCCGCGGUAAUACGGAGGAUGCGAGCGUUAUCCGGAUUUAUUGGGUUUAAAGGGUGCGCAGGCGGAGGCACAAGUCAGCGGUAAAAUCGCGGGGCUCAACCCCGCUCCGCCGUUGAAACUGUGUC